rnacentral:ncRNA from 14 species
UUUACACAAUUCGUAACAAGUUAAAAGCAUUCGCUUUAGGGAAACUGGUGCAAAUCCAGUGCUGCCCCCGCAACGGUAAAAAUGUAAACCAUAUUAAAAAAGUCAUUUAGACUUACGCCACUGCAUGCAUAGAUGUGGGAAGGUGAAUAUGCUUGUCUCUUUUUGAGAUGCCAUUUGAGUCCGGAGACCUGCUUGUUACAUCUAUCCACUC